rnacentral:rRNA from 1 species
GCUGGCGACCGGCGCACGGGUGAGUAACACGUAUCCAACCUGCCCUUUACUCGGGGAUAGCCUUUCGAAAGAAAGAUUAAUACCCGAUGGCAUAAUGAUUCCGCAUGGUUUCAUUAUUAAAGGAUUCCGGUAAAGGAUGGGGAUGCGUUCCAUUAGGUUGUUGGUGAGGUAACGGCUCACCAAGCCUUCGAUGGAUAGGGGUUCUGAGAGGAAGGUCCCCCACAUUGGAACUGAGACACGGUCCAAACUCCUACGGGAGGCAGCAGUGAGGAAUAUUGGUCAAUGGGCGCUAGCCUGAACCAGCCAAGUAGCGUGAAGGAUGAAGGCUCUAUGGGUCGUAAACUUCUUUUAUAUAAGAAUAAAGUGCAGUAUGUAUACUGUUUUGUAUGUAUUAUAUGAAUAAGGAUCGGCUAACUCCGUGCCAGCAG